GCGGACGUAGCUCAGUGGAUAGAGCACCAGUCUUCGGAACUGGGUGUCGGGGGUUCGAAUCCCUCCGUCCGCGCCA
rnacentral:tRNA from 2 species